rnacentral:rRNA from 1 species
CAACGGUGGAGCUUGCGGUUUAAUUGGAUUCAACGCCGGAAAUCUUACCGGGACCGACAGCAAUAUGAAGGCCAGGCUGAAGACUUUGCCGGAUUAGCUGAGAGGUGGUGCAUGGCCGUCGUCAGUUCGUACUGUGAAGCAUCCUGUUAAGUCAGGCAACGAGCGAGACCCACGCCCACAGUUGCCAGCGUACUCUCUGGAGUGACGGGUACACUGUGGGACCGCCGCUGCGUAAAGCGGAGGAAGGAAUGGGCAACGGUAGGUCAGUAUGCCCCGAAUAUCCCGGGCUACACGCGAGCUACAAUGGUUGGUACAAUGGGUAUCUACCCCGAAAGGGGACGGGAAUACUCCUAAAACCAAUCUUAGUUCGGAUUGAGGGCUGCAACUCGCCCUCAUGAAGCUGGAAUCCGUAGUAAUCGCGUUUCAACAGAACGCGGUGAAUACGUCCCUGCUCCUU